rnacentral:misc_RNA from 1 species
UUUUUUUUUAUGGUUAUUCUAGGAAAACAAGUUUGAACUACUUUGUUGGGAUGUUAUUUAUAGAUUGGAAUCAUAUUUUACUUGUGAAUUUAGUAAUAUGUGCUUCAUACAACUUUGCUUUCAAUGCUUCCAUAAAUUCUUUAUUUCUUUCUUCUUUUCUUAUAUUUAAUAUCUUCCAUCUGACACCAAAAUUUUGGUUUCACUAUCUGUUUCAAAUUUCAAUAAUUCCAUUUGUUUUGAAAUUGCACAUGUAUCUUCCAUCAUUCUCCCGACUUCGUUUUUUGCAUUAUAACUUUUUGUUUUGGAUAUAUCAGAAAUUUUUUAAAUGAGGGAGGGAUACCAGGGUUUGAAAGUCUAACCUCCUACAUUACUAGGUAGGCAUUAAUACUAUUGCAAAGAUAAUAAAUGUUUAAAAUUAAACUUGAUCAGAGAUUUGGAAUUCAGGAAUAGGGCCUAAUUUUGAAGCCGUAUUUAUCUAGUUCCACUCUUCUUUGGUGUGAUAACUUUGCAUACUUUUUGCUUUUAUGUGUUUUUUUUAAUUAAUGUGUUAGAAGUGUAUUAAUGAAAUUGGGAUUUUACAUGUAAUUUUUGCUGGUACUUAGAAUUUUCUCUAUGGGAUAUAUUAUAUAGUUAAUUUAUGUGCUUAGAGUGAAGUUUGAAUUGGAUGGUUCCAAUGACCCUUACAGGUAAAGAGUAUUACAGGCGAAUACUCCCAAGAAGUUAACCGUUGGACAGCUGAAGCUUUAGUAGCACUUCAAGAGUGAAAAAGGAUUUUGAAUUGGCACGUCGGCUUGGAGGGAAGGGACGACCUUGGUGAAAAUGUUACGGCGUAACCAAGAGCAACAUCACUGAUUAUAACCAUUAUGAGAUGUAAUUCUGCUGUUGUUCUUUGAUAGUAAUUCCUUUCCUCCUAUUGUGGGCAUAAUAACAACUAGGAAGUCAGAAACAUGCUUAGCUCUCCUGCAGCCAAUUUGUUGCUUCCUGUUUGAGAGUGUAGCCUAGGUAGAUUCCAUGUAAACAGGUAGAUUCCUUUCUCAGAAUAUUUCUUAAGAUCACAAAUUGUCUUAGGGUUACUUUUGGACCAUUUAGCCAUUCAUGGUUGUAAGCUGGCCUAUGUAGCUGUGCAUACAUGAGAAUAUUUGUGUUGGACCAUUCAGCCUUCUUUGUGUAAUAUGUCUAAAUAGAAUCAUUU